UGAGGAAUAUUGCGCAAUGGGCGAAAGCCUGACGCAGCGACGCCGCGUGGAGGAUGAAGGUCUUCGGAUUGUAAACUUCUGUUAAGUGGAAAGAAAGAACUGACUUUAAUACAGUCAGUUUAUGACGGUACCAUUAGAGAAAGCACCGGCUAACUUCGUGCCAGCAGCCGCGGUAAUACGAAGGGUGCAAGCGUUAUUCGGAUUUAUUGGGCGUAAAGGGUGCGUAGACGGUAUGUUAAGUCCGCUGUUAAAUUUUCCGGCCUAACCGGGAAACUGCAGUAGAAACUGGCAUACUAGAGGAUGGAAGAGAGAAGUGGAAUUCUCGGAGUAGCGGUAAAAUGCGUAGAUCUCGAGAGGAACACCAAUGGCGAAGGCAGCUUCUUGGUCCAUUCCUGACGUUGAAGCACGAAAGCGUGGGGAGCAAACAGG
rnacentral:rRNA from 1 species